rnacentral:rRNA from 1 species
CAAUAGCGUAUAUUUAAGUUGUUGCAGUUAACAAGCUCGUAGUUGGAUUUCGGGUGGGACGCAGCGGUCUCGCAUUGCGUUUGUACUGCUGCAGCCCUCCUUCUUGCCGGGGGCGGCCUCUCGGACUUCACUGUCUGGGGGUCAGAAUCGGCGAUGUUACUUUGAGUAAAUUAGAGUGUUCAAAGCAAGCUUACGCUCUGAAUAUAAUAGCAUGGGAUAACACGACAGGACUCUGGCCUAUCGUGUUGGUCUAUAGGACCAGAGUAAUGAUUAAGAGGGACAGUCGGGGGCAUUCGUAUUCCGUUGUCAGAGGUGAAAUUCUUGGAUUUACGGAAGACGAACAUCUGCGAAAGCAUUUGCCAAGGAUGUUUUCAUUGA